UAAUACGUAGAUGGCAAGCGUUGUCCGGAUUUAUUGGGCGUAAAGCGAGCGCAGGCGGUUCUUUAAGUCUGAUGUGAAAGCCCCUGGCUUAACCAGGGAGGGUCAUUGGAAACUGGAGAACUUGAGUGCAGAAGAGGAAAGUGGAAUUCCAUGUGUAGCGGUGAAAUGCGUAGAUAUAUGGAGGAACACCAGUGGCGAAGGCGACUUUCUGGUCUGUAACUGACGCUGAGGCUCGAAAGCAUGGGGAGCAAACAGGAUUAGAUACCCUGGUAGUCCAUGCCGUAAACGAUGAGUGCUAAGUGUUGGAGGGUUUCCGCCCUUCAGUGCUGCAGUUAACGCAUUAAGCACUCCGCCUGGGGAGUACGACCGCAAGGUUG
rnacentral:rRNA from 1 species